UGACCUGAUGAUCUCUCUUGGAAUCUCGUUCGGCUGAAUGUUGCUGUUGAGAAACGGAAUCUGAGCAUC